CAGGUUUAUCAUGCUACUGCCGUGUCAGAGGACGAGAAGUUGGUCGAGGCGGUCACCGUGCAGUCGGCGGACGAGCUGCGGAGGCUGCUGCCGAGUGGUUGCGGCGGCUCCUGUUGCACAUGACAUCGCCACCGCACUCUGUUACCUGCAUCAAGGCUCAAAUCCAAUCCCCACAAAUUAAAUCAGAAUUCACCAAGCCACCAAUCGAGUUGCUCACCGCCAAAACCAAGCUCACACGCACAUCGAAUCAAAGCCUUCAGCCAUUCAAUUCGAGAUUGUCACUAAAAGAAUCAAAGGGCCGCGAGAUGAGGCGCGAUGGUGUCAGGUGUGGGCGGCGUGGUUCUUGACGGCUGACCGCGGGCAAGGAGCCGGGGAGGCCCUCUUCACCUUGCCGCGUUGCACCUCGCUUGCUCCUGCGGCGGCGAGGCUAGUCCAUCUCGCCUUCACCACCACCGUCUCGGGCUGUGGCCUCUGGAUCACUUCACCGGCAACAUCGUCAUGUUCAACGUAAGCAGCAUCGCCGCUUGUGUUCGCCCCGUUGAUUCGCUAGUCUAACCUGGUAGCAACGACAUCAAGCAAUGUGUUUAUGUGUGCAUGUCCUGGUUACUCGAGCAAUGGCUGGGAGGGAAGUUAGAGGAAAGCUAUCACUAGUGCCUGAUUCUAGAACAGAGGAGAUAGAGAGAUUGGAGAAAUGGAGAUGGUGGAUGGUGUACCGUGUCCUGUAUACAAGGUAAGCAUACCAAUUUGUGUAGCUUACCAAUCAGCGUUUAAGAGAGGAACCUGUUUACACUGAUUCAACUUACCCAACAUCGUCAAAAAAAAAAAAAAAAGAUCAGGGCUCGUCGAAGAUGGUAAAAAGACAGGCUGCCAAACGGACCCUUAUCUCCUGGCCGCCCUGACUUGUCGCGCUCGCGUGAGAAACGCGGCUAGCUUCUAGCAGCUACCCUACGGCCGAGUCAGUGACAACGUGCAUGGGGACUUUCUUGGGCAGGCUAC
rnacentral:lncRNA from 1 species